AGGAAAUAGAUACCCGGGUAGUCCACGCCCUAAACGAUGUCGACUGGUUGUUGGGGGUUUGACACUCUCAGUAAACGAAAAGCUAAAACGCGUGAAAGUCGACCGCCUGGGGGGUACGGGCCGCAAGGUUAAAACUACAAAGGAAUUGACGGGGACCCGGCACAAGCGGUGGGAUUAUGUGGAUUAAUUCGAUGCAAACGCGAAAAACCUUAACCUACCCUUGACAUGUCCGGGAGCCUGCUGAGAGGCGGGUGUGCUCGAAAGAGAACCGGAACACAGGUGCUGCAUGGCUGUCGUCAGCUCGUGUCGUGAGAUGUUGGGUUAAGUCCCGCAACGAGCGCAACCCUUGCCAUUAGUUGCCACUGGAAACGGGGCACUCUAAUGGGACUGCCGGUGACAAACCGGAGGAAGGUGGGGAUGACGUCAAGUCCUCAUGGCCCUUAUGGGGUAGGGCUUCACACGUAAUACAAUGGCGCGUACAGGAGGGUUGCCAAGGAGCGAUCUGGGAGCCGAUCCCGUAAAGCGNGUCGUAGUCCGGAUUGCAGUCUGCAACUCGACUGC
rnacentral:rRNA from 1 species